rnacentral:misc_RNA from 1 species
UCAAACAUGUGGGCGAACAGCCCAUGCGGCCUAGCCGGCCAGCGCGGCCCAGGCGGUCAGGCAGCGGCCCAACCGGCCAUACAAGAGUGGCAGUUAGGGUAAAACCCUAACCGCUCCUCCUUUCCCAGAGCCGCCGGCAGCCCUGGCGGCAUUUUUCGCGGCGGCGCGUGGAUCCGGCCUGCGCGGUUCCGCGGCGGUGCCAGGAACGCAGCCUCGCGGCGGCAGGCGGGCACGGACUCGGCGCGUGGCCCCCAGGCGGCGAGUAGGCUGGCCCCCCGGCGGGGCGGGCGCUCUGGCCAGGCCCCGGUGAGCGCGCGCCACACCGUCGCAGGAUCCGGCCAUGGGGCGGCCUCGGCACGGCGCGUCCGGCCCCAGCAGCCCCGUGGGCGCGCGGCCUGGCGUCCGGCACCAGCAGCCCCGGCGGCUCGUAGGCGUCCGGCCCUAGCAGCCUCAGUGCGAUACCCUGGCCUGACGGCGCGUCUCUAGAGACAUCACCUUCGGGCGCCACCUGAGCUGCGAGUCUGCAACUGAACGAACUGCACGUGCGCGGAGGCAACGCGGCGCGCGGGCCUGGCGUGCAGGUUCAGCCGCUCACCGUCAGUGCGAUGAGGAGCCACGUCGACGUCGUGGCCAGCGCCACGACGGCCGCCGCCGUCUUGCGGCCGGGCAGUGCCCUCACGGUCACGGCGGCGCUGGUGUUGUCGCCGUAGUCCGGCGGCGACAUGUUCCCGUACAGCGGAGGGGACCUGCCGUCUCCAGCCGGUGGAGAGCUCCCGUACCCGCCGGGGGCAGAUCCGUAUCCUGGCGUCAGCGGAGUCGACGUGUUCAGGACCGAAGCUCCGGUGCUGUCAGUUCCAAGCAGAAAUCACCACAUGUAGCUAGCUACCUUUCCUUUUUUUUUUUUUGCUUGCGUUGGUAGAAAUUUACCUCGUUGCUGGAUACUGGCACGUCGAAGUACCUGCGCAUGCAGAUGCAAACAAAGAAGCGAACGCGUGAACAUCUAUCUAUCUAUGGAUGCAGAUUGCGAAAACAAGAACCUUGCUCUGAUCUCGACGUGUUCAGGGUGGAGCUUGACGAGCUUACUCGGGUUGGUGGUGGUGAGGACUGCGGCGCCGCCGAAGUCGCAGCUGGUCUGCACGGGGUUCUUCUGGUAGUAGGUGUUGAAGGCGUAGGACGCGUGGUCGGGGACGGUGUCCGGGCUGAAGCAGCUCCCGCCCCGCUGGACGGCGGAGCAGUCCGCGCCGCCCUGGCCGCACGCGUAGUUCAGCGCCACCUGCAGCACCGCCGCGCCCGCGCUGGGGCUCGCCACGCACCAGCUCCCGCCGCCGGCGCCGGUGGCCAGCGGCAGCGAAGGCGCCGCCGGCGUCGCGGUGGGCAACGGCAUCGUCGCCGUCGGGUUCACCACCGGGACCGUGGCCAGGGGCGACGUGACGUCGCGCUCCAGCCUCUUUGUCGCGCCUGCUCCCCGCUCGCUUCCUCCCCCUGCUGCC